rnacentral:rRNA from 1 species
AUUGAACGCUGGCGGCAUGCUUUACACAUGCAAGUCGAACGGUAACAGGUUAAGCUGACGAGUGGCGUACGGGUGAGUAAUGCAUCGGAACGUGCCCGAUCGUGGGGGAUAACGCAGCGAAAGCUGCGCUAAUACCGCAUACGAUCUGAGGAUGAAAGCGGGGGACCGUAAGGCCUCGCGCGAGCGGAGGGGCCGAUGUCAGAUUAGGUAGUUGGUGGGGUAAAGGCUCACCAAGCCAACGAUCUGUAGCUGGUCUGCGAGGACGACCAGCCACACUGGGACUGAGACACGGCCCAGACUCCUACGGGAGGCAGCAGUGGGGAAUUUUGGACAAUGGGCGAAAGCCUGAUCCAGCAAUGCCGCGUGCAGGAAGAAGGCCUUCGGGUUGUAAACUGCUUUUGUACGGAGCGAAAAGGUUCUCUCUAAUACAGAGGGCUCAUGACGGUACCGUAAGAAUAAGCACCGGCUAACUACGUGCCAGCCGCCGCCGUAAGAC